UCAAGAAUUGUGAUUCACGUUUUGACAAGCCAAAACAAAAUAAUUUCGCGGCUGUGAGUUGGUGUUCCGCAGUGCUGCUGAAAAUUUCGGAACUUUGGAAAGAAUUCGGAUUGAUUUGACUGUGAGAGAGAGCACCAACAAACAAAAUUAUAAAUAUUGCUUACUCUCUCAUCCAUCAAACCAAAACAAAUCGUUUAGAGAGAAAAAUGCAGUCAGCUGAGAAUUUUGUUUCACGAUUGAAAAAAAAAAACGUUUGCGUCAUGUUGGUACGAUGUUAUGCGUUCUUCUACUACCGUUGCAGUGGCCACCAGCAGCUGACGUUAACACAUUAAUGCAAAUUUCGUGAAACCUGGAACAUCCGGGUUCGUGCACUCAACAUGGACAUUUCCAUUUGUCCAGGAUAGUGAUUAAAAGUGGCGAUUUGAAGGAACAUCCCGAGGAACGUAAAAUUAAACGGUUUAGGCAGUUAUGGAGGCUGUGCAAUGAUUGUAUUUAAAUUUUAAUAAAUUAUUCAGAAUCUACA